rnacentral:rRNA from 1 species
GAUGAACGCUGGCGGCGUGCAUAAUACAUGCAAGUCGAACGAAGCGGGGACGGGGGAGUAACACGUCGAUAACAUCCUAUAAGACUGGGAUAACUUCGGGAAACCGGAGCUAAACCGGAAUCUGAGAGAUGGAGCCGCGCUUCAUUAGCUGGGUGGUAAGGUAACGGCUUACCAAGGCAACGAUGCAUAGCCGACCUGAGAGUGUGAGCGGCAACACUGGAACUGAGACACGGUCCAGACUCCUACGGGAGGCAGCAGUAGGGAAUCUUCCGCAAUGGGCGCAAGCCUGACGGAGCAACGCCGCGUGAAUGAUGAAGGUCUUCGGAUCGUAAAAUUCUUUUAUUGGGGAAGCGUUACCCAAUCAGAAAGCCACGGCUAACUCCGUGCCAGCAGCCGCGGUAAUUC